rnacentral:rRNA from 1 species
AUUGAACGCUGGCGGCAUGCCUUACACAUGCAAGUCGAACGGCAGCACGGGGAAACCUGGUGGCGAGUGGCGAACGGGUGAGUAAUGCAUCGGAACGUACCUUUCAGUGGGGGAUAACGUAGCGAAAGUUACGCUAAUACCGCAUAUUCUGUGAGCAGGAAAGCAGGGGAUCGCAAGACCUUGCGCUGAUUGAGCGGCCGAUGUCAGAUUAGCUAGUUGGUGAGGUAAAGGCUCACCAAGGCGACGAUCUGUAGCGGGUCUGAGAGGAUGAUCCGCCACACUGGAACUGAGACACGGUCCAGACUCCUACGGGAGGCAGCAGUGGGGAAUUUUGGACAAUGGGGGCAACCCUGAUCCAGCCAUGCCGCGUGAGUGAAGAAGGCCUUCGGGUUGUAAAGCUCUUUCGGCCGGGAAGAAAUCGCACGGGCUAAUACCCUGUGUGGAUGACGGUACCGGAAUAAGAAGCACCGGCUAACUACGUGCCAGCCGCCGCAGUAAAAC